UCUAAACCUUUUUCGGAGAAAAGA
rnacentral:siRNA from 1 species